GUGGAACUAAUUCCCAGAUGAAACCCUGUUUUAUUUUAAACCAUGAUUUGUGACGAGAUGUUCUGUCUUUAAACUGGAAAGGCCCGGGGAAUCGGCAUGACAUAAGCGCCUUCCUCUCGAGGCGGAGGUCGGAAGACAGAAGGAGAGGAGGAAGGAGGAAGAGAGAGAGACGGGGCUCGAUAAGCGCCGCUAUCAGAACGCACCCAAACACAGCGUCCGGCUGUUCUCCCUUGUGCAGGCGGAGGAAAACAGAUACCCUUAGCAGACACAAAGCGAGCUUCACUGCUGCAUUUGGAGAACCUCAGCAAAAUCCAGUGAGGACCAGACGGUGCAGUUUGCUCUUUUUGGAAGGCAGCAGCAAUGUGAGGAAGAGGUUUUGGACAUCUGGCAGAGGCUAUAUCACUUGUUAUUUCCUCCCUCUGUUGUUCUGAAGGAGAGGUCAAUCGGCAGCAGACUGGAGAUGGAGGUCAGGUUAGAGGUCACAACUGAGCCCUGUUGAUUGGUAGGGUCGACCAGGGGUCAAAAGAGGAGAGGAAAGCAACAGGAAAGCUCUUUGUGCUUCGCUCUAAAGGACUGGGAAUGCUUUCCUCUGGUCCUAUCUGUCUUCUUAGCCUUGUGCCGGACAUAAGAUAUUGGCCGCCACGUGUUUUCCCACAAACAGAAGCAUGAACAUCAGGUACGAUAGGGUCACCCCAAAAAUGAAAAUUCUGUCAUCAUUUACUCACCCUCAUGUUGUCUAUGAGACACAAAAAAAUAUAUUAUGAAUAGAUCUUUUUUGCCUAUACUUUUAAAAUAUCUUCUUUUGUGUUACACAGAAGAAAGUAAAGGCUGGAUUACACUACACAGCUUUUGCCCAAAUUUUUGCCCUAAUUUAUAAUCUGGACGAGCUGACGCUGGUUGCAGAAAGUUGACAAAUUUCACAGAAAAUCGCAUAGUGUAUGAUGGCCACCAAAGGCUAUGAUUCUAUCCAUUCUGAGGAUAUCAAAGUUGAAAUUUUGUUUUCAUUUGUCAUGCAUCUCCUAGCAAUGAGGUGAGUAUUCUGUACAAGUUAGUUUUGUUUGGAAAAACUUGAAAGUCUGCUAGUAUUUUCGUCAUUUAGUUUAUUAUCCCUAGUUUUUCUUCAGUAACCAUUUACAGUUGACAAGUUUAUGAUGCCUAGUGUUUUAUUAUCAUUUCAGAUUUUAAAAGUCAUGUAGUGUAUUCCAUCCUUAAGUCACAGAGUUUUGGAACAACAUGACAUGUGAGUAAAUGACAGAAUAUUCAUUUUGGGGGAAACUAUCCCUUUGAAUUUUGAAUGAUAUAUGGGAUAAAAACAUGAUUUUGGUGAAAAACCUUACACGCAGUUUAUGCAGUAAAAAGAAAAAGGUGGAAAUCCUAAAGCCAAGCAUUAGCAAUCUUCAUAAAAAUAACCAGGAAAGAGAGAUCUUGUGUGCAUACAUGGUUUGCAUUCCCUCACUUUACCUGAUAAAACUGACCGAGCAGGUCCAAAACAACGCUCAGAGAGCUGCGUAAGCAUUUCCUCCGCAAGUAUCCUGAAACUGACAUGAACCUACAUGCUUGAAUUCUUAUUGGAGAAUUUGCCAGGCAAUGGUUUAAACCAAUUUCUGACACCCUCGGCUCUAAUCUUUUCAUUGUCAUGUCAGAGUUGGGCAUAUUUGUAAGUCAUAUACGAACUAUGAGGCUGAUAUCUUAUUAAAUGCAUUGGGACCAGCUGUACAAGAUUAUAAACCUGAACCAAAAGUAAAUUUAUUCAGCGUUCCUACACAAACAGAUUUUGCCUCAGGACCCUUUCUCCAUAACUGACACUGGUAACAAGCACCAUACAUUGUCAUUCCCACACACCUGCAGAAGUACCAUUCCAAAGCAGGUUGCCAAAUAACUUUGCAACAGCUAAUUUCAUGAAAAUGCAAAUCCCCCAUUUUUUAAUCAUCCCUUUCCUGCAGACCUGAGAGCGAGAGAGACAAUGCUGCUGAAUGGGACCCUGGGGGAAUAUCACACGCUUUGAGGCUUGGCUGUUUCAAUACAGAACAAUUACAUUAUCCCUCUAAUAACUUAGGUAAGUUAAUCCUUCACUGGAAACGCUUGGCGACAACCUUUUUUAAGCUAUGAGGCUUAAUGUAGUGUGUUAUCACAGAGUAGCAGGAGUUUGUGACGCUUAUAGGCCUACAUCUUUGGCAGUCUGCAUUGUGUUAUGACCAAUUCCUGACUUAAAAGGCAAGCCAAAAUAUGGCAUACAGUACAUACUGCUUAAGUGGAGUGCAAAGUUUGUUUAAAGGUCGCUGCUAACUUAAAACAGGCAAAUGGUUACAGUUGUACAUCAAUGGGCAGAUAUAUCAUAUUAAUCAAGAAUUUGAUAUACGCCAACAUUUUUGGCAAUGUUUUGGAGAAUGUCAUAAAAGCUCUACAGACUCACUUUACAGUUUUGUUUAGUAAUUUAUAUCAUAUGUGAGUUCAAUAUAACAACUGUUUAAAAACAUAAAUAGGCAUUAAAAAACAUAAAUAUCUAAAAAGCUGGCCUUUAAGUCAAGUAUUCAUCAUCCUGUUUUCCCAAACUGGUCAUCCAAGUACUGCUAGUUUCGAAGUGAGGAGCUACUCUGGAAAUAGACCAAACUCUUUCAUUCUCUCGUUAUUUAAACGCUGUCAUCAGAAAGGUCAGAGAGGGGGAGGCUCGUUCUGUUCCACUUGACUAACGGGCUGAUUGAUGAAAUAAGAGGCAAAAACAGAAGCUAAUGAAG